rnacentral:misc_RNA from 1 species
GUGAAUCAUCAAAUCUUUGAACGCAAAUUGCACUCUCCUCGGAGAGUAUGCCUGUUUGAGGGUCAGCCUAUAAAAAAUCGACAUCGUUGCUGUUUCGCGGUGGCGUUCGUCGGAAAUUGGGUCAUCUUAAAUCUUCUUGGUUUUUAGGGGCCUUAAAUUUUUCUUUUUGUUUUCAUGAACGUUUAAAUGAUUUUUUUCUUUAUACGUUUAAGGUAUCGUU